rnacentral:snoRNA from 11 species
GGCGAUGAUGAGUGAUGGGCGAACUGAGAAGUGAUGAUGGUAGGUGAUCUCUGAGC